CUCCUUGUCCCGUUCCGGUUUCUGUUUCGCGAGUGUGCGGCCCUCGUGUGGAGGAUGGCCGGGAAGUGGCUCAGAAACUGCGACUUGCAGCUGGGAUCAUUGUCCAGCCAUUUUCCAAGGCGGCUAAGGCAAUUAGUGUGUAAUUUUAAACUGUUUUGCGGCUGGAACUGAGGCUUGAAGCUAAGGCCUUCUGACCGAGUAGUGCUUGCGGUUAGAAUCUUAUGUUGGAAAUGGAGCCAUCCAGAAGAAGACCAGGAAGUGUACAGAGUUCAGCC
rnacentral:lncRNA from 1 species